rnacentral:rRNA from 1 species
CCUACGGGUGGCAGCAGUGAGGAAUAUUGGUCAAUGGGCGCUAGCCUGAACCAGCCAAGCCGCGUGAAGGAUGAAGGUGCCAAGGAUUGUAAACUUCUUUUGUAAAGGGAUAAAGUGCAGCAUGUAUACUUCUUUGAGUGUACCUGAUGAAUAAGGAUCGGCUAACUCCGUGCCAGCCGCCGCGGUAAUACGGAGGAUUCGAGCGUUAUCCGAAUUUAUUGGGUUUAAAGGGAGCGUAGGCGGGUUGUUAAGUCAGUGGUGAAAGCCUGGGGCUCAACCCCGGCCGGCCGUUGAAACUGGGGGUCUUGAGAUGUCGAGAGGUAUGCGGAAUGCGCAGUGUAGCGGUGAAAUGCAUAGAUAUUACGCAGAACUCCGAUUGCGAAGGCAGCAUACCGGCGGCGAACUGACGCUGAGGCACGAAAGCGUGGGGAUCGAACAGGAUUAGAUACCCUGGUAGUC